GUGGGGAAUAUUGGACAAUGGGCGAAAGCCUGAUCCAGCCAUGCCGCGUGUGUGAAGAAGGUCUUCGGAUUGUAAAGCACUUUAAGUUGGGAGGAAGGGCAGUAAGUUAAUACCUUGCUGUUUUGACGUUACCAACAGAAUAAGCACCGGCUAACUUCGUGCCAGCAGCCGCGGUAAUACGAAGGGUGCAAGCGUUAUUCGGAAUCACUGGGCGUAAAGCGUGCGUAGGCGGUUUUGUAAGUUGGAGGUGAAAUCCCCGGGCUCAACCUGGGAACUGCCUCCAAAACUGCAUGACUAGAGUACGGUAGAGGGUAGUGGAAUUUCCUGUGUAGCGGUGAAAUGCGUAGAUAUAGGAAGGAACACCAGUGGCGAAGGCGACUACCUGGACUGAUACUGACACUGAGGUGCGAAAGCGUGGGGAGCAAACAGGAUUAGAAACCCGGGUAGUCC
rnacentral:rRNA from 1 species